rnacentral:lncRNA from 1 species
GCUCCUGAAGGCAGGGAUCGGGCCCCGGGGCCGCUGCGGGGGACAGGGACACACGCCACACCACUGAAAGCCCCGGCGGCGGAGCGCAGCAGAACACCAGCUGCAAACACCUGGACCGAGCGCUGAAAGACUCCAGGUACAGCGGCACGAGCUCCGUCUCCUCCCAGAGUUCAGUGCAGUGUGUCAUGAUGUGCUUCAGUUCUGCAUGCUGCUCAUUUAUCAUCGAGGAUCUGGCUGUGCUUCCUCGAUUACCCCAGGAUCAGCAGGUACAGGUGCUCCAGAUCUGAUUCAGUGCAGUCAGCACAUGAGUUAGUGUCCGGCUAACACUGCUGCUAUGACUUCAGUAACACCAAUCCCUGGCAGUGCAUAAACUGACUAAACGUGCACCUGGAAUACAAUGCAAGUCUCUGCUCACAUUAUGGGAGUAAAUGGGUGGCAAACAGUGUUUGAUGUGAGUGUUAACAAUUCCUGUAACUCACACCAGAUCAUGUCUCUAGCAACACCAGGGUCAUGGGUUCGAAUGCAUGAACUGAAAACAUGCAAGCUGCUUUGGAUAAACGCUUCUGUCAAAUGCAUAAAUGUAAUAAGCGACAUGUGUUCCAGGAUUCAGGAGGACGAGGUGUGUAACAGCAUCCAGCAGAGACGGCAGAUCUUCAGGCUGAAGGACAGUCGGUCGGGGACAGCCUCCAAGCAGCUCAGAGAACGAGGCCCAGUCUUCAGAGCCGCGGCCGUGGAGCAGCUCCAGCCUCAACCUGAAGCAUCCCGGUCCUGACCGGCGGAGACCGCUCCAGCAGCAGCAGGAGCGCGGGACGCCUCUCAAACACAGGUGAGGGACGCACGGACUGAUUCAGUGAUGAUUGCUGACACUCUUCCUCUGCUUUUCCUCUCAGUCUGUCUCUGUGUGUAAUAACAGCAUGUUUUCUGUAGAGACUCAUUCUGUGUCUCACUGCAUGCCAUCAAACUCUCAGUCUCUUAUUAACACUGUUUGUUCAGUCCUCUGAACUCAUAGCUGAUCGUUUCUGCACUACUGUUCAAAAGGUUGGGCUUAAUAAGAUUUGUUCAUUUAGGGUGCAUUAAAAUCAUCUAAAUACAGUAAAAACUGAUAUAUUAUGAAAAAUUACUACUUUUUUUUGGAAAAUGUCAUACACUACAAUUUAAAAAUGUUGGCUCUGUAAAAAAAAAACACUGAAAUUCAACAAGUUUGCAUUAAUUUGAUCAAAAGUGACAGUAAAGACAUUUAUAAUGCUACAAAUGUUUUCCAUUUCAAAUAAAUACUGUUUUGAACUUUCUGUUCAUCUGUGAAUGUAUCACAGUUUGCACAAAAAUAUUGUGCAGCACAACUGUUUUCAACACUGAUAAUAAUCAGAAAUGUUUCUUGAGCAGUAAAUCAUCAUAUUAGAAUGAUUUCUGAAGAUCAUGUGACACUGAAGACUGGAGUAAUGAUGCUGAAAAUACAGCUGCGCAUCACAGAAAUACAUUACAGUUUAACAGAGAUUCACACAGAAAACAGCUGUUUUACAUUCUAAUAAUGUUUGUUCAGUCCUCUGAACUCAUAGCUGAUCGUUUCUGCACUACUGUUCAAAAGGUUGGGCUUAAUAAGAUUUGUUCAUUUAGGGUGCAUUAAAAUCAUCUAAAUACAGUAAAAACUGAUAUAUUAUGAAAAAAUUACUACUUUUUUUU